UACGUAGGGUGCAAGCGUUGUCCGGAAUUAUUGGGCGUAAAGAGCUCGUAGGCGGCCUGUUAGGUCGAACGUGAAAUCCCCGGGCUCAACCCGGGAACUGCGUCCGAUACUGGCAGGCUUGAAUUCGGGAGAGGGAUGCGGAAUUCCAGGUGUAGCGGUGAAAUGCGUAGAUAUCUGGAGGAACACCGGUGGCGAAGGCGGCAUCCUGGACCGAGAUUGACGCUGAGGCGCGAAAGCCAGGGGAGCAAACGGG
rnacentral:rRNA from 1 species